UGGCAGUUCCUGAUUUACAACGGUAUAUCCCCUUAAAAGUCUUAAAAACGACGUUUUUGAUCAGAUUAAGGUUUCUUCAAGGAUACCUUUUUAAAUUGAGCAUUGCCAUCUCCUGUCUUAUUUCUUCUUUAAUUAGUUUCCGAUUACGACUGUUGGGAAAACUUAAGAGUUCCGAACUGUAUCAAUUCUACUGCACCUGAGACCCUGAGACCAGGGAGUGAGGUUGAAACCAACCCUAGAGAAGUACUUCCAGAAUCAUUCUUUGGAUACAUGAGAGAAUGUCGACUAUUGAUAGAUGAUCUCCGCAGUAUGUCUGUGGAUCGAGAGUCCGCUGAAGAAUGGAUCAGGGAUUUCUUGAUUUAUUUUAAACCAUAUUUUAUCUAAUCUUUUUAUUCAUAAUGUUUGUGCAUUAUCAGAGGUGGGGUGAGUGGGAGUAUGACGCCAAA